AACGAACGCUGGCGGCAUGCCUAACACAUGCAAGUCGAACGUGAUCCGGAGCUUGCUCCGGUGAAAGUGGCGCACGGGUGAGUAACGCGUGGGAACCUGCCCAGAGGUAGGGAAUAACCGCGGAAAACUGCGGCUAAUACCCUAUAUUCCCUUCGGGGGAAAGAUUUAUCGCCUUUGGAUGGGCCCGCGUCGGAUUAGCUAGUUGGUGAGGUAACGGCUCACCAAGGCGACGAUCCGUAGCUGGUCUGAGAGGAUGACCAGCCACACUGGGACUGGGACACGGCCCAGACUCCUACGGGAGGCAGCAGUGGGGAAUAUUGGACAAUGGGCGCAAGCCUGAUCCAGCAAUGCCGCGUGAGUGAUGAAGGCCUUAGGGUUGUAAAGCUCUUUCGGCGGGGAAGAUGAUGACGGUACCCGCAGAAGAAGCCCCGGCUAACUUCGUGCCAGCCGCCGCCGUAAUAC
rnacentral:rRNA from 1 species